rnacentral:lncRNA from 1 species
GUAAAUUUCAUAGGUCUGUAUAAUAAACUAGUGGCCUAAUUGAUUCUUAAGACAGUAUUUAAUUCACAUUUAUUAUGGUACUUUCAAUGACAGUUAUAUUUAGGUUGAUUUUAUGUAUGAUUAGUUUAACAUAAGCCAAUUUGAAAACUAUAUUUUUAAGAUUGCACACUGAACAAUCAUGUAGCACAUCUAAUUUUUAGUCCAUCUAUUUUUUGUAACCUAACUACUGCUAACUACUGUUGCUUUCAUGUAGAUUAAUAUUUACUUUCUUUUUAAAAACCUAAAAGAUUGAGUACUAUAUAAAAUAUUGAUUGUGGGUUAAGCAUUUUAUUAGUAACAUGUAGUUGUAUGUCUCAGAUUAGUCUUAUAUUUUCUUAACAAAUCUAUGUUUUUUCCUUAAUAUAUCAGUUAUCAUUUAAAAUUGGUUGCUUAAUAUAAUAUAUAGUACUUUAUACUGGGAACUUUAUAUUUUAAAUGUUCUGUGCAAGCUUUAUUGCAUACCUAUACCAAUUCCAAUUUAAAUUUUGAUUUUUGUGUGUAUACUCACAUUGGAAUUGGAUGACUACCAGAUUUUGUUCUUAUACAUGUAUUGGAAACUUUGGACUUUCUAAUCAUCAGUUAUCUUGGCCAUAGCAAAUGGAACUGACUAGUUCUUAUCAGAAUUGCCAAUUGGUUCAUGUGACCAUUUUUUGUGAUGCCUGUCUUCCCUCAACACAACUUCUCACUCUCUUAUUCCCACUCAAGUGAAAUUUAAUCAUUUCUGUGGCCUUUUAUUUAUACCAUUAUAAGGAUAUUCACCAGACUUCCUUACACCAUAAUUGUGUAUAUAAGUGAUUGUUUCCUCCAUGAAUUAUAGGUUUCCAAAGGAAUGGAAUUUUGUUUUAUUCAUGUCUGUAUCCAUCCAUGACAUAUAUGAGCUUGUCUUUACAUUUUGCUAAGAGUUUGGCCGUAUACUUGGAGAUCAUAUAUUUUAGUGUUCAGUAAAUGUUCAUUGAGUUAAAGUGAGUAAAAUUGUAGAUUGUUUAUUUAAUUGAUAGCAAAACUGUAUCUCCAAAACAAGGUUUAUUCAUCUCAUUUUCAGGUGCAAAUUCAUUUUUUCAAAAUUGAGCAAAUAUCUUAGUGUCUCCUCUCUUCACCUGAAUAAUCAUUUUUAUUGGCUUAUUAUAAUUAUACAUAAUAGUGGGAUUUGUUAUAAUAUAUUCAUGUGUGCUGCACACAAUAAAACAGUAUAAUUUGAACAGUUUCUGAAUGAUCACUUCUGUUUUAGGAUUUGUUCAUACAGAUAUGACGAAAGACUUGAAAGAAGAACAGUUAAAGAAAAGCAUUCCUCUUGGAAGGUUUGGAGAAACCAUUGAGGUGGCACAUGCAAUUGUGUUUCUUUUAGAAUCACCAUAUAUUACAGGACAUGUUCUAGUAGUGGAUGGAGGGUUACAACUUGUGGUAUAAUUUAGAGAUUGUUCAGUUAUAAUGGUGAUUAGAAUCAAGUCAUACUUUAGCUAUUGAUAAGACAAUCAUACUACCUGGUGACACUUGCUAAUCAAACCUACUGAUGCUACCAGUGUUGAUUUCCUUCUUUAUAUAAAUGUUUGAAAAGAACAAUGUGUGCCCAAUUGGUUUAUCUAAAGGGUAUGAAUCAUCUAUACUAGCUACCUUUAUAGGCCAUAUCAAUUUUAGUAUAUAGACAUUUUGUAAAGGACAUAAUAUUUAUGUUUUGCCUCAAAAAUGGAAAAAUUAUAUUGUAUAAUUAUGAUGAAUGAUUUCAUUGUAUCAGGCUGAUUUUUCUAGAAGUUAACUUCUAGACAGUUGCUAAAUUAAGAAUUUCCAGAACAUUGAUUUAUUGUCAGUACUUUAGCAAAUUUGCUGAAGUUAAACAUUGUAUUGUUUUGCAUAUGUUUAGGCAAUCAAUUUUUUAUAUGGGUUGGAAAAAAUAGUAUCAAUUAGACAAAGACAUGAAUUUAGAGUUGAUUUCUUAGAGCAGUAUUACUCUUGGUUGAACAGCUGGACAAAAUAACCUGUAAAUUUAAAUGUGGUGCAAGUGGCUUAUUUUGUAGAAAUUCCCAGCGGUAAUGAGGACCAGUCCUUAAGGUUUUAAUAUCUGGUACAGUAAUGAGCUGCAUGGAUUUCAUGAAUUUAGGCAGUGUUUUUUUUAACCUACAAAAACUCAGUAUAGUGAGUUACUUAAAAAUAAUUCAAGCUUUUGGAAGGGUACCUGGAACAAAUUUGUACCAAACCAGCAGCUUCAGUUGCCACAGUUCUCUUCAGUUCCUGGAUGUUUCUCGUGGCCAAAAAUGCACUAAAUCAUCUCCAAGUUUGAACAUCCAGCAAACAAUGGCAAGACAGAGCACCUGAUUUCCAGACAAAUAUGGUAAUGUGGUAUUAGCUAUUGGAGCCACUUUUCUGUAUUGCUGUGUGGACACACAUAGUAACACAAAUUGGAAUAGAAUGGAACCUGUCCCCUGUUGGCUGGGUCAUCCCAAAGGAAUGGAGAGAUCAGUAAUUGUGCCAACUUAUAAUUGAUGCCAAGUAAAAGCACUGUGUACCUAUUAUACCUAUGGCAUAUUGAAGAAAUAAAGUACACUUGAAACAUUAAAAAAGAAGUUUAGGAAACUUAACAUUAUGAGCAUUUUUGUAUUGUGAAUAUAACAAUGAUCCUUACCCUAGUAUUUUAGAAAGGUGUAAUGGCCAAUUUGAAUUGUCAACUUGAUUGGAUUAAGAGAUGCAACAAUUAAAGAGUGUGUUGAUCAGGGUGUGUCAAGGAAUGAUUGGCAUGUGGGAUGGCCAACUGAAAUGGAGACCCUCCAUGAGCAUGGGCAGCACCUUCCAAUAGGAUGAUGGCUUGGAUGAAAUGAAAGUUGGAAGAACAAGAAAGCAGCAGCAGAUGCAAACUCCAUUCUUCUUGAAUGGGUUCUUGAUUGCUGCUGUGAUGUCUGAGGAUCGCUCUUGCUUUUUCACUCUUCCAAAGUGAUCUCUACCAGUGAUUCUCCAGGGAAUUUCCAGAAGUCUUCCAUCUCAGACUAGGAUAGAACCAUUGAUCCCUCUUGUUCUGUGGCUUCAGCUUCUUGGACUGUGUAGCUACUUGUUCUUCCAGCUCUCCAGCCUGCAAACAGCCAUUGUGGACUAUCCAGCUUCUGUUUGUGUAAGCCAACCUAAUGAGUCCCCCUUUUAAAAUUAUACUUCCUGUUGAUUCUGUUCCUCUAGAGAACCCUGACUAAUAUAAAAGGUAAUAAAUAAUUACUCAUAAGUAAUCAUAAAAUAUUUUAAAUAUAUUUGCAGUAACAAUGAGUUAAAUGUCUUUACAAGAAACAAAGCAAUAGUCUUGAAACAGAGUGUUUGCCUGGGCAUAGAGAUAAAGAUAUGAACUGAAUGUAAAAUAUCAGGUAACAUCUUUUUUGCAUUGAACUCUUGGGAAUAAUGCAGAUUUCAGUGUCACUAGGUUCAUGUUUUUAUUUAUCAUUUUUCAAAAUGUUUUAAAUAUUGCAUUCCAAAGUAAUUAUCAUAAUUUUCUAAUAGCUUUUUUUAAAAGUGGAAUAUUAUCUAAGAAUUAUGUUGAAAAUUGGUGCAAAAAAUGAUUAAGAUGUACUAAUAAAUUCAGAGUAACAGUAUUUUAAGUCCUUUAUGGUCUAAAUCAAGAUUCCUGAUUCCUUAAAAAUUAUUCUUGUUUUAAAAAAAUUACUUUAUUUGUUUAUUUUUUUAUGUGGUGCUUAGGAUUGAACCCAGUGCCUCACACAUGCUAGGCAAGCACUCUACCACUGAGCCACAACCCCAGCCUCUUAAAAAUUCUUUUUUUUUUUUUUGUGGUGCUGGGAUUGAACCCAGGGCCUUGUGCAUGCAAGGCAAGCACUUUACAUCCCCAGCCCAAAAAUUAUUCUUAAUUUAUCUUUCAAAUUGUUUUUUUUUUUUUUUACUUAGAUUUCCCUGUUCAGAAUAUGAGAAAGUAAAGUGUAAGUCAAGUUAGUAUUAUUGAACAAAUUGUCUACUAAAUGCAGAAUACAGAAUAUAUCAUGUGUUCAUAAUUCCUGGCACAUAUAGGAAAUGUAGCACUCAGGAUAGUUAUAGAUAUGAUGCUUUUAAGCUGGGAGAGUUUGUGCGGCCAGAGUAUGUACUUCUGCUCUCCCACCUACUGGCCUCUGGCUGCCUGCAUUUCAUAAUUGCUUUGUAUUCAGGCUUUAGUUCCCCUCAGUGGACAAUCAUGUUCUGAAGUCACCAGUGAUUAAGAAGAAAGCAGUGUAUUUCACUGAACUGAUGACAGGUUAGAGAUAGGCUUAACCUUUAAGGAUGUGUAUUUACACAUUAAAAUAAGAAAUACACCUUUUAAACUAUUCUCACCCUCCCGUAGCCUAUUUCAAACUGGCAAAAUAUGUGGAGAAGUCUUGAAAUGGGUAAAAUAAACCUUCACUCUUCCAUCUUAGGUGAAUUCUCCACCUACUUUAGCUGACCUGGUAGAAUUUGUAAUUCAGUACUUGCAUUCUGUUUCUGAAAUCAGUUCCUAAUUAUUGCCUUACAGUCAGAGAUUCAAGAACUUUAAUGAAUUAUUAACCAACAGAAUGAUCUAUAGUUGUUAUGACUCUUGGAACCUACAAUCCAGCCCAUGUGUAGCAUUUAAAAAUAAAAAAGAAAGGAUAAUGGUUAAAACCAAUGUAUUAAAAUUUUGCAUUGAAGUUUUAAAACUUGUGCUCCUUUCACAUGUUUAUUCAUAUUCAAUUUAAGAGGGAUUGUAACUGUUUUUUAGAGAUAGAAUUACAUGUUAUAAAUUACUUUGGGGGGAUAAUUUGUGUGAAGAAGAUAACUUAUUUAUGCUUGCAUUAUCCAGAAGACUAUUCUGGAUAUUCAAGAGUUAUAUCUUACAUUACUGAUAUAUUUUUCCAAGCUUUUGGAAUGGAAGUCUGUAUAAAGUAAAUCCUACUGCUGUCCUGACUUGGCAAAUAUACUAUACUAAAAUAAAGUACUUAAUAAUUAACUUUAUUUUAUAUUAAUUUUGUCUUUCAAGUUCAUUGUAAGCUCCUGAGGGUAGAAGCCAGUAAAUACUGUGUUAUCACUCCUUUAAUCUCAAAAUUAAACAAAUAUUUAUUUUACGUCUUUUGAUAUCCCCAUCUUGCUUACCCCUGAGGACAUUGGAUAUUCUAAAUAAAUGCACAGGUAAAUCAAUGUUUUUUUAAUGAUUCAGGAUUAUUAGUCAUUCACGGUGCUCUAGUUUGGGAGGUCAUUGAGAUAAAUUUAAGUAUAUAUCCUGGACUCUUGUUUCUUGAUCACAUUCCUGUGGU